GCUCCCCACCCAACCAACACCUGGAGGACUUUGAGGAACCCCACAUCCAUGGCUGGGAGUCACUUGCCUCUCUAGGACACCACCCCUGCCCUCUGCUUUCAUCUCAUUGUCUAAGCCGAAUGCCUCACCUGGAUGCCUUCCUUACCAAAAUCCUCCCGUUCUUCAGCCUGCAGACAUACUACCUCCUCCAGAAAAUCUUAUCCAGGACCUCUGCCAUCACUUGGCUCUGACUCAUUUGCUGGAAUCAGCUUUGGGGUUGCCGUGUUAUUUCCGUCUUAGCUGUCUUACCUAUGUGUACCCCACCCCACCCCAGUGAGCCUCCCAGCUAGAGCCUCUCAGAGCGGGGAUCCGACCUUUGAGGUUUUGUCCUCAUCACCUCCCAGCCUGUGCAUGGACAGAAGGCUCCACAAACAUAUUCAUAGGAAUAAAUGUUUUAGGGAGUUCACGAGGUGGUUUAAAAAGAGCACAGGAUCGGAGCCCGGUGGGCCUGGGUUGAAAUCCUGACUGUAAUUAUGACACAAGACCUAAAGAAGAUUAUCUCAGGUGAGAUCAGAGGGAAGUGAGGUAAUAUUUCCCUCUGAUCUGUGAAGUGCAGUUUAAGAAUAGGCCUAUAGGGAUUGUUUGUUGAGCACUUGCUAUGUUCCCUUAUCUAUAUAACAUACAGUCUUGAUCCCACAAAGCCCUGUGGGGCUGGAAAUACUCCUGUUUUACAGAUGAGGAAACAGACAUUAAGGUUACUUGCUCAAGGUCCUGCCACUGAAAAGUGGCAAGUGCCCCUGCUUGGCUCUUGCUGGGUGGGGAAAGGGCCUGGCAUACAGCAAGCACUCAGCAGAGGCUUGUUCUGCAACCGGAGCUUCGAUGGCUACGCCUGCUGGCCAGAUGGGCCACCAAGUUCUUUCGUGAAUGUCAGCUGUCCCUGGUAUCUGCCCUGGGCCAGCAGUGUGCUACAGGGCCACGUGUACCGGUUCUGCACAGCUGAGGGCCUCUGGCUGCACAAGGACAACUCCAGCCUGCCCUGGAGGGACUUGUCGGAGUGCCUGGAGUCCAAGCGAGGGGAGAGAAGCUCCCCGGAGGUGCAGCUCCUGUCCCUCUACAUCAUCUACACAGUGGGCUACGCACUCUCCUUCUCUGCUCUGGUCAUUGCCUCUGCGAUCCUCCUCGGCUUCAGACACCUGCACUGCACCCGGAACUACAUCCACCUGAACCUGUUUGCAUCCUUCAUCCUGCGAGCACUGUCCGUCUUCAUCAAGGACGCAACCCUCAAGUGGAUGUAUAGCACGGCUGCCCGGCAGCACCAGUGGGAUGAGCUCCUCUCCUACCAGGACUCUCUGGGCUGCCGCCUGGUGUUUCUACUCAUGCAGUACUGUGUGGCGGCCAAUUACUACUGGCUCUUGGUGGAGGGCGUGUACCUGUACACACUGCUGGCCUUCUCAGUCUUCUCCGAGCAACGAAUCUUCAGGCUCUAUGUGAGCAUAGGCUGGGGUGUCCCCCUACUGUUCGUUGUCCCCUGGGGCAUUGUCAAGUACCUGUAUGAGGACGAGGGCUGCUGGACCAGGAACUCCAACAUGAACUACUGGCUCAUUAUCCGGCUGCCCAUUCUCUUUGCUAUUGGGGUGAACUUCCUCAUCUUUGUUCGGGUCAUCUGCAUCGUGGUAGCCAAACUGAAAGCCAAUCUCAUGUGCAAGACAGACAUCAAAUGCAGACUUGCCAAGUCCACGCUGACACUCAUCCCCCUGCUGGGGACUCAUGAGGUCAUCUUUGCCUUUGUGAUGGACGAGCAUGCCCGGGGGACCCUGCGCUUCAUCAAGCUGUUCACUGAGCUCUCCUUCACCUCCUUCCAGGGGCUGAUGGUGGCCAUCUUAUACUGCUUUAUCAACAAUGAGGUCCAGCUGGAGUUUCGGAAGACCUGGGAGCGCUGGCGGCUGGAGCACUUGCACAUCCAGAGGGACAGCAGCAUGAAGCCCCUCAAGUGUCCGACCAGCAGCCUAAGCAGUGGGGCCACGGUGGGCAGCAGCGUGUACACAGCCACCUGUCAGAUCUCCUGCAGCUGAGACUCCAGCGUCUGACCUCCCUGGGGUCCUUGCUGCUGGCCAGGUGGCCAUUCCAGACAGGUAAAUGGGCAGUGCCUCCUGGGACCACGGACACAUUUUCUCCAAGAAGCAGCAGCCUCCUAAUUUGAUCACAGUGGCAAGUGGAGAGGAAAAACGAGCGCUGUGAAAAUGAGGAGGAUUUCUUCCCGUGAAGCCACAGGCCCUUGGGGUUCCCCUAGACAGAGCUGCAAAUCAACCCCAGACUCAAACUCAAGGUCAAUGGCUUAUUAGUGAAACUGGGGCUUGCAAGAGGAGGUGGUUCUGAAAGUGGCUCUUCUAACCUCAGCCCAACACAGCUGGAGUGACGGGAGCCUCCUCUGCCUGCAUCACUUGGAGGCACCCCCUCUCCGUCUUCUCUCAAAGGGAAGCUGUUUGUGUGUCUGGGUUGCUUAUUUCCCUCAGCUUGCGCCCUCAUCUCACUGCCCAGUUUCUUUUUGAGGGGCUUUGUUUGGAGCACUGCCAGCAGCCUUUUCUGGAAAUGGCUGUAGGUGGUGGUGAGAAUGAGCAUUGAGAAGAUGCCCGCUUCUCCUCCAGGUAUUUGAGUUGCUUUGGUGCCUGCCCCUGCCAUGCCUAGAGAAUCACGGCAGGCCUGCCACCAGGGAGCCCAGCCCUAGGGUAUGAGCUCCCAAGUCUGUUUUAAAGACGCUCAAGAAUCAUCUGGGGUUCACCUAGGGGCAUGUUAGGAAUGUCCAGACUGUGGGUGUAGAUUAUCUGCCACUUCCAGGAGCCCAGAGGGCCAGGAGAGACAUUGCCUCCAGCUCUCCUUGGAAAUGUUUUCUACGUGUGACCACGUGCUGUCUCUUGUGUGAGAAUUUGGAUAUCUUCUCUAACUUGAGGGUACGUGAUCAUGAAGAGACUCUCCUAGGGAAGCCAAUAGUCCCCAUCAUCACCAUGGAGGCAGGCUUCCCCUGCCUUUGGAAUUCCCCCCCUUGGGAGCUUGUAUAUACUUCAUUCACUUUUCUUUAUUGCUGUGAAUAGACUGUGUGCACAAACAGGCAAUUCUGAUUUCUCCCAUCUAAUGGAAAUGAGUGAAAUCAUGCUUGUGGGUGAUGCCAUUUGGGGGAGUGCAGCAGUCAUUGAUUUGACCCGCUAACACCGGAGCUAAUUAAGGUUUGCCCUGCUGCCAGCCUCCCCCACAAAUAAUGAACAGCGGAAAGGCUGGAUGGGGAAACCUAUCAAUCCAGCUCUACAGCCAUGGUGAGGAAGCCCCCAGCCAUGGUGACACACAGCAGCACUGCAGAUACCCAGACAGACGGCCAUCCAAGAGAGGCUGGCAAGGAGUUCAUGGAUGCAAAGGAAGUUUCUGGAGCAAGAGAGAGCUCUUGGGAGUCAGGACCUCUGGGGAGAGAAGAGGGGUCUGACAGAGUCCUUUAUGAGUUGGCCUUUCCCUCCCUUUUAAAUGGUGGGAACUCUCCCCAAAACCUCACCACAGACAUUCUCCUGUGCCCCUCAGAGAGGCCCAUGAUGUGCAAGGAAAAUAGUAGGAUAUAAAACACAUCAAGCAGAAAAUAUCUUAUACUUCAGCUUCGGUGAAGUGAUGUCUAUGUUAAUAGGGAAGUUGAACCUCAGGUUAAAGAAAGGAAUUGUGUGAAUGGCUGCCUUGACUGAGACCGUAUAGGCCAGGGCACAUUCCUGCUUCCCCAGAACAAGGGCAGGCUUCCCACUGGCACCCCUUGUUUGCUGUCUCUUUGUGAAGGUGAGCACCAGUGGGUUUGAUGUGGGGCACAAUUCUGGUGCAAGUGUUUCAGCUCUGGAUAAACUGAGGAUUUUGAGAAUCAUUAUUAUGUUAUACAGGAACAAAGAAACAGAAUGAUAUAACAUGUGUGAAAUAAGUUGCUGAGGAUAGGGAUUGUAGGGAAGAAAGUGCUUGGUUAGGCACCUGGGAAGCUCAUACCAUUUGAUUUAAACUGUAAGUAGAGUUCUCUUCCCAACUGAAACUGGUGAUUCCUGAUUUGAGAAGGCUCAUCAGACCCCCACACCCAAGCCUUUUAACAUGGAGGAAGUUUUUCCUUCAUGAAUACAUACCAGAUACUGAACUGAAGAAAUCUUUUCUUUGCUCCAAGCCCCACGGAGCUAUUAAUAGUCAUUCUAAUGGCACUGCACUAUUUCUAAGCUCUAAACUAAAUAUGGCUCCAACAGGUCUGGGAACUAUCGAAUGCAAUGUACUCUGAAAUUCCACCAGCUGUUUACAUGCCUGAUGCCUAACGCCAUACGCCUGGAGCUUGCUGAGAACUCUCUCGGCUGCCUCUGUCCUGGGGUACUAUUGCUGACCAGCAGGGUGUAGGCGCUGCUUUUGUUUGAGCUUUGCAGCCACAAGGUCUGAUGGCUGUUGUGAAAAGCAGCUGAUUUCAGCACUCUGGCCAGCUUCCUCAAACUUGUUCGGGGCUUGUAUUUUGUCGACUUGUCUUUGCCAUUUCAGUCUUUCAAGCAGCUAAAUCACAGAAUUGAAACAAACCACUUAUAUUGCAAAGUUGCCUUCCCUAUGAAAUGACUUUCUGGAUUGCAGGGAUGAUUUUUGAUGGUCUCAGUGUGCCUCAUGCUGUAGACCACAUCAUUGGAGAUCUGGGAGACUCUGAGCAGAGAAAGACCGUGGUGAUCCCUCCUGGCCAGAUCUGCAGGAUUGAGGAAUGAAGCUUGCAGAGGUGGCUUGCCCAAGGGCACAACACUAGAGGGUGGCUGAGCUGGGCCAGGACCCAGACAAGCCUUUGCCUCGCAAUCUAGUGAGGCCUCUGGGAAGGAUAGGUGAAAACUAUAAAUAGCUGUUCAAGAUAUUCUAAGUAGAAGUCAGUGGUGUUAUCUGGAAUUUCUACUGAAGAGGAAAUACAGUAGCAAAGGUAGACUCAUCAGAUGGUGAAAGUGUCAUCUCCUUUAUAACUAAUACUGGUGAGAGGAGGGGAAGGAUGUACUUUCCUAUUUUUACUCUGGUACCUCUUUCAUCAUUGUCUUAAGAAAUGAAAUGUAUCAGGGCACACAUAUGCAUAGAAACAGCACCUGAACCAUUUUGGAUAGCAAUUCCAGCACUCUUUUAAUGGAUUGGCUUAAAUUUUUUUCUGAUGCCUGUGUGUGUGUUUGAAAAGUUGUACUGAUAGUCACACAGAGUGUACUAAAAGACCCUGAAAGGUCUCGAACCUCCCCUUUACCUCUUUAGAACUCUCUGAAUUUGGAGACAGCUAGCAAAUGGCAACUGUAGCCUAGCAAAGAUGGCACAGCACCACGAAGGGAAAAUAGAGUCAGCUCCCAUCCAUGCUCUGAAGGUCUUGGCCACUCCUAUCAGGGUUGGCUGUGUUCUAUCCAGCAGCUCACAGACAGAAGACCUCCCCUCCUCAUUCCCUCCCAUUUCUUUCUUCUGCAAAGAAAGAAUAUUGUGUGCUGGCAGUGUGUGUGUAUGUGUGUGCAUGUUUCUUCUGUGCAUUGCAGCAUAAAGUUAGGAGAUGAUGACUCUAGAAUCAUCACACCCACUGUGCGGGUCACAGGACCACACACUCCAGGCUGGGAGUCUAAGUGGUAGAUGCUUCCUCUCCAUGCACAGGCAGGGCUCCCAUUAUUUGCUAAUGCCUGCGACGUGCUCAGGAAAGGCAAAAUCUAUUCCAAAGGUUUAUUUUCCCUCUGUUGAAUUGAUUCUAAUCUACAGUGCUGACCCUGCUUUGGCUUCUAUAAGGCAAACUAUAAAAAUUCUCCAAUAAAAUACAGAGGCUUACUCUGCUAAGACACCUACCUGUGUGAAUGACGUGCUUAACAUUCAGCAGAAACCAAAUUAGGAUCAACUCUAACAUUUCCCCCCCAUUUUGUGGCUGGAGUGAGUUCCCCUGGGAAAGAAAAUAGCACAAGUGAGAAACUUCUGCCAACCUCAUUACCAUGCCCCUACACUGUUACCUUCUGGCCCACAUCAACUCUCUGGCCCUAUGGAGGGCCGAGACAAGGAAGUGUUAUUGAGCAGUAUAAUUUUGAACACUUUACUUAGUGCCACAGUGUGUCUGCAGUAUCCAUAAUUACUUCUACUCUGCCAAUGACUACAGACUGGCAGGAAGCAGAUAAGCAUAAUUGUUUUCCAAUAACUCCCCAAGUCUCUUGGACUUUGCUUAUAUAUCUGAAUCUCUCAGUGGAGAGAGUUUUCUCUCUUCUUUGGCCAUUUUAGCCUGUUUUCCAGGACCUUAUCUAGCACUGGCUCCAUUUUUGCCCUGAUGUAUCCAACUUCCUUCCCCGCACUCCUCCUCCCCCACUGCUGCCUCAGGAAGAGGUGACCUUGCUAUCCAUACUGUGAAUGCUGUUCUUUCAGCUGUGACCAAUUUGGGGAUACAGCUGAGGGUGCGGUGCUGUUAGGGCUGAAAAGGAUGCACCUCAUUCUACGUUCGGGUGCAAUGAGGAGCGUGGCAGCCAUCAGCUUGGAUCCUAACUUACAUUAGGUAAUGCAACCUUUCUGAUGGGGCCUGCCAAACUAUCAGUAAUUAGUCAGCUUAGACAAUGUAGCAUGACUAAUUAUUGCUGUGUCAAAGCAAUUCAGGACAAGAAAAACAUAUCUAAAUGAGAAUGUUUAGAUGUGGUAAGAAAAGAGGUCUCGCCACAGUUUGGAACGUAUAAAAAGUUGAGUUAUUUGCAAGGGAGCCAAUGGGAGCAUUGAGGAAAGGGCAAAAUUCACCCCAGAUAGCCAGUGCUUGAUCUUGCCAAACAGUUCACACUUUACCUCCAAACCUGCGGUUCUAAGCUCCUCUCACUAAAAUAAUCAUCACAUCCUCAAAGCAGACAAACUCCAGCAUCUCAUCGGUUCUGCAGGGAUUUGAUGCAGACCGUUAAAUGCACCAACAGAGAGGUAAGCCAAGCUCUCAGGAGGGACAAAGCUAGAUUUCCCUUUUCAGUGCUCUUGGGGAAUGUUUGCUCUUCAUGAAUGUUUAAACAAGAUCAUUUCCAUGCGAUGUCUUAAUGUAUAAAUUCCUGUAAAAUAUGACCAGCUUCUAUAGGUAGUGAAUGUAAUUCCUUGUAUAGAUGUGAAUGGAUGCAAACUCUUUCCUAAUUUGCCUUGUAAGUCAAAUAAAAGUCUGUCUCUACUGUC